CCAGCUCCAAUAGCGUAUAUUAAAGUUGUUGCAGUUAAAAAGCUCGUAGUUGGAUUUCGGAAGGUCUUUAGUGGUCCGCCCCUUCGGGGAGCGGGUCACUGGCCUCCUAUGUUCCUAACGGUCCUCAUCCGCGAGGGUGGGGAAUCAACCGCUAGGAUCGUUUACUUUGAGGAAAUUAGAGUGUUCAAAGCAGGCGUAACUCGCCUCCGAAUACGUUAGCAUGGGAUAAUGGAAUACGACUUCGGUCUUGUUUCGUUGGUUUCGCUUGGCUGAAGUAAUGAUUGAUAGGGACAGUUGGGGGCAUUAGUAUUUAGUUGUCAGAGGUGAAAUUCUAGGAUUUACUAAAGACUGACCAAUGCGAAAGCAUUUGCCAAGGAUGUUUUCAUUAAUCAAGAACGAAAGUAGGGGGAUCGAAGACGAUCAGAUACCGUCGUAGUCUCUACCGUAAACUAUGCCGACCAGGGAUCCGGAGAGUUUGCAUGGAUGACUCCCCGGGCACCUUGUGAGAAAUCAUAAGUGUUUGGGUUUUGGGGGGAGUAUGGUCGCAAGGCUGAAACUAAAGAAUGACGAAGGCUCCCCCAUGC
rnacentral:rRNA from 1 species